rnacentral:tRNA from 1 species
GGGGCCGUAGCUCAGCUGGGAGAGCGCUUGACUGGCAGUCAAGAGGUCGGGAGUUCGAUCCUCCUCGGCUCCACCA